rnacentral:tRNA from 1 species
ACUUUUAUAAUUUAUUUGCAGAGAAUAUCGCGCUGAAGAUGCGAAAGAGGUAAAUCUACCUGAAAGUG